AGUACACGAGUGGCGAACGGGUGAGUAACACGUGAGCAACCUGCCCCUGACACUGGAAUAAGCGCUCGAAAGGGCGUCUAAUACCGGAUAUGACUUCUGCCUGCAUGGGUGGGAGUGGAAAGCUCCGGCGGUUGGGGAUGGGCUCGCGGCCUAUCAGCUUGUUGGUGAGGUAAUGGCUCACCAAGGCUUCGACGGGUAGCCGGCCUGAGAGGGCGACCGGCCACACUGGGACUGAGAUACGGCCCAG
rnacentral:rRNA from 1 species